rnacentral:snoRNA from 1 species
AAGCUGGCAGCAGUAAAACCAUGUUACCAGCCCUAAUGAUCAUUGAGAUCUUUAAGGUCCCUGAAAGCGGCUACAGUU